rnacentral:rRNA from 1 species
ACACCGGCAGCUCAAGUGGUGGCCAUUUUUAUUGGGCCUAAAGCGUUCGUAGCCGGCUUGAUAAGUCUCUGGUGAAAUCCCAUAGCUUAACUGUGGGAAUUGCUGGAGAUACUAUUAGGCUUGAGGCCGGGAGAGGUUAGGGGUACUCCCAGGGUAGGGGUGAAAUCCUAUAAUCCUGGGAGGACCACCUGUGGCGAAGGCGACUACCUGGACCGAUACUGACACUGAGGAGCGAAAGCGUGGGGAGC